UAGCGGCGAGUGAAGCGGCAAAAGCUCAAAUUUGAAAUCUGGCACCUUCGGUGUCCGAGUUGUAAUUUGAAGAUUGUAACCUUGGGGUUGGCUCUUGUCUAUGUUUCUUGGAACAGGACGUCACAGAGGGUGAGAAUCCCGUGCGAUGAGAUGCCCAAUCCUAUGUAAGGUGCUUUCGAAGAGUCGAGUUGUUUGGGAAUGCAGCUCUAAGUGGGUGGUAAAUUCCAUCUAAAGCUAAAUAUUGGCGAGAGACCGAUAGCGAACAAGUACAGUGAUGGAAAGAUGAAAAGAACUUUGAAAAGAGAGUGAAAAAGUACGUGAAAUUGUUGAAAGGGAAGGGUUUGAGAUCAGACUCGAUAUUUUGUGAGCCUUGCCUUCGUGGCGGGGUGACCCGCAGCUUAUCGGGCCAGCAUCGGUUUGGGCGGUAGGAUAAUGGCGUAGGAAUGUGACUUUGCUUCGGUGAAGUGUUAUAGCCUGCGUUGAUGCUGCCUGCCUAGACCGAGGACUGCGAUUUUAUCAAGGAUGCUGGCAUAAUGAUCCCAAACCGCCCGUCUUAAACAAAGGAAACAAU
rnacentral:rRNA from 1 species